rfam:Triticum aestivum genome assembly, contig: Triticum_aestivum_CS42_TGACv1_scaffold_643312_T_1BS-0.232917_1DS-0.202295
AUAUUACUCCCUCCGUCCGGAAUUACUUGUCGCACAAAUGGAUAAAAGUGCAUGUAUCUAAAAUUAAAAUAUGUCCGACAAGUAUUUCCGGACGGAGGGAGUAUAAU